GCCUGCAGCCAUAUUGCUCUACAACUCACAACUGGCAACUGGCAACGCACUGAAGCUAAGCAGGUGUGAGCCUGGUCAGUACCUGGAUGGGAGACCUCCUGGGAAAAAUUAAGGUUGCUGCUGGAA
rnacentral:rRNA from 1 species